rnacentral:lncRNA from 1 species
UGGAAAACAGUCUUUCCAGUGGUAAUCAGCAGUUCUGCUUCUCUUCUUGGUUAUAAUAGAUGUGAAGCAAGAGGACAGCAGUGAGCUGACUGAACAAAGUCUAGACCUGCUAAAGAAGAAGUGUUGCAGGAGACUCUGAUCCCAAAAUGUUUUUCCAUGGUUCCCAUGAUAUGACUGCAAGAAAGAUAUAGCCCCAUCUGUCAUCAACCCCUAUCAGCAAGCAGUAAUAGCUACUGUGUUCUUCUGCUUUUAGUCCAUGAGAGGAAGAGUUGAUUGAGCAAGAUGAGAAGGUGACUCUUCUGGAGGAAAUGCUACAGACAGUUCAGUUCUAUUGAGGAUGACACUUCUUUGACAUGCUACCAUUUAGAGUGUCACAGUUCGAGACUCCUUGAAAGAAGAUAACUUUUUGCUCUUUCUGGAGAUCUGGACCCGUUAGUAAACUGAAGAUCUUAGAAGCUGUCCCACUCAAGUCAACAUCUGGAUGUUUGCAAUUUCACCUGAACAACUUAAGGAAGUUAAUAAGUAAUCAGUAAAAAGUGAAGAAUGCACCAAAGACCAGGACAAGCCUUCUGCACCCUCAACAUAGGUCUUGAGCAGGUCCUCUUAACA